rfam:Candidatus Roizmanbacteria bacterium RIFCSPLOWO2_02_FTLL_41_9 rifcsplowo2_02_scaffold_63095, whole genome shotgun sequence.
GGGCUCGUAGCUUAAUUGGUAGAGCGCCGCAUUCGCAUUGCGGAGGUUGUCGGUUCGAGUCCGAUCGAGUCCA